AUUGAACGCUGGCGGCAUGCUUUACACAUGCAAGUCGAACGGUAACAGGCCGCAAGGUGCUGACGAGUGGCGAACGGGUGAGUAAUGCAUCGGAAUGUGCCCAGUCGUGGGGGAUAACUACUCGAAAGAGUAGCUAAUACCGCGUACGAUCUAUGGAUGAAAGCGGGGGACCGUAAGGCCUCGCGCGAUUGGAGCGGCCGAUGUCAGAUUAGGUAGUUGGUGGGGUAAAGGCUCACCAAGCCAACGAUCUGUAGCUGGUCUGAGAGGACGACCAGCCACACUGGGACUGAGACACGGCCCAGACUCCUACGGGAGGCAGCAGUGGGGAAUUUUGGACAAUGGGCGCAAGCCUGAUCCAGCAAUGCCGCGUGCAGGAAGAAGGCCUUCGGGUUGUAAACUGCUUUUGUACGGAACGAAACGGCUCUGGUUAAUACCCGGGGCUAAUGACGGUACCGUAAGAAUAAGCACCGGCUAACUACGUG
rnacentral:rRNA from 1 species